UUUUUCCUAUGAGAACACUAAAGCACUAAAACAGGAGCUGGAGAAGGAAGGUGUUGCAACCAGAUUUUUACCAGGAGUCAUUACUGUGAGCUGCAUCACGGCUGUCAUCUGCAGUGAUUUGAAACCAUAGAAACAAAUCAAAGCUACUGCCAGCGUUUGCAUUGAGCCGAGACUGCAUGCGCGUGACUGUUCACACCGCCAAAAAUGGCUAAAGAGGGCAGAAAUCUGCUGGAGACUUCUGGACAAGCUUCUUUGCUUUUUAAGUAGGCAACACUAAAGACAUAGACCUUUUCAACAACUUUAUCUCGUUGGGAUGUGAUAUUUAGAAACACUGCUGCAGCCAUCUUGCUACCAGCUGAGGAAGAUGCCAACAUAUGAAGAAAGGCAGAGCCAAAAGAUUGCUAAGAAGCUGAAUUGGGACCCUGACAAACUAUAACUGAAGUUGUCCUACCUCUUGCUUUAGACACUGUGGGUCAGGGCUUCCUGGUACAGCCAAAGGUAUCCUAAAUGACAGUCUCCCAGAUUCAUCAUAUCUCUGUUUACUAGGCAAAAUACUCUGACUUUUGUGGCUUAAUAAAAGAACAGGAAUUCAUUUCUUUAAAAUAUAAACUGCUUGUAGAUAGGGAUUUACCCUCUGGGUAAGUUCCUUGUGGAAAAAUUUGCUCAAUGCUAUGCCAAGAACAGUACGGAACAGUUAUUGAUGAUUACUAUGAUUGAUUUUUUUUUCUUUUAACCAUGGUGAAGUUUGGUUAUAAAUACUAUACCUUGUAUUUGCAAAGUGAUUUGCAGUCUACCAAAGUGCUUUAUGUAUUAUUUUAUUUAACUCUAGUGACAGCCCCGGAAGAUAGAGGAAAAGAUGAAGAUGCAGAAAAUGGAGUUCAGAAAGGUUAUGUGAUUUGACCAAGAUCAUAAAUCUAGAGGGUCAAGGCUAGGACUUAAAUCUUGGCUCUCUAACCCUAGUUCUAAUGCUUUUGUCACCAAAUCACAGCUAGAGGUUGGAGCAAACUAAUGAUUUACGGUGAAGAAACAGUUUACAGAAGAGAAGUCGUGACAUAGCUUCAGACAAAUUGUGAGGAAAUGGAUGUGCCUGCUCCUGGCUGUGUCAUUCACUAGCUGUGAAAUCUUAGGUGAAUCAUGAUACCUCCCUGAAUCUCAGUUUCAAGGAAUUAUACUAAAUGAUCUGUUAUGUGCUUCCUGACUCUAACAUCCUGUGAUUCUGUAAUCGAGAAUUGCUUAUGCAAAUAGGGUACAAAUCAUGCUUUACAUAAGCUACAAAGCUUUUCUUGUGACUACCAAAGAGAGAUCAAUUCUGUGUGUUCUGUGCUUCUAUUUGAGCCUGCACAUUCAUGCUUCUUGAGCACCUGUGAAAAUGUCAGCAGUUAACAGAUGUGUUGAACAUCAACCUAAACUUCCUCUAUGGCCCAAGUCAUGGGCUUUUCAUUUGUAGAAUUAUUUUACUCUAGAGCUGCAAAAAUCACUUGUUAUCAAACAAGCUUGAUAAACUUGUUAUCAAGCUAGUUUUGUCACCAUGAUUCUUGGAACAGAUUUAGAAUGGCAGAAAAAGCCAGCAGCACCUGAGUCUUGGGGAUACUUAUUUAUUAGGCAAUUGAGUGGCAGGUUUACAUAAUUAAUUGUCCUAUGACUGACUUGCCUUCACUAUUCUAAUGAAGCAUGUGAUAUUUGCUGCCUCAACAGAUUGAAGUUUGCAAAUUUAGCACUACAGAGGCUAUUUUUUCCGAAGCAAUAUGUCAGCAAUUUGAGAAAAUUACCAUCAGGAAAACCGCUGUGCUUUGGCUGCAGUUUCACAGUCCAAAAGCUCAUUUGCACACAGAGAAAUUAUUAAGUCGGAGAAAAUGUAGCACACCAGGAUUUAUGUCUCUUGAAUAGAAACUGGUCUGUGUUCAAGAAUGGGAAAUGAUAUUUGCUGCAAAAUGGUAAAGUAGUGCUUUAUGACUAAAUGUAAACACCGGGUGACUACAACCAUCAGGUGUUAUGGCUCCAUAAGAAAAAUAGCUAGAGGACGGUGGGAAAAAGAUUGGGAACGUAGUGGCUUUUGCCUUUGUCCUUAGAAAAGAGAAGGCUGAGAAUUGAGUCCUCAGAAGAAUGAUUGUGAGUGUAAGGGCGAUAAUAUAUAACUUUGUGUCAGGUAUUUUUUGAAGUGAAGCCCAACUCACACUGGUCAAGUAAAAUAGAAUUUAUUGCCUUAUAUAUUGGGAAGUCCCCAAAACAGGCUAGAUCCCCUCACUGUAACCAGGGGCUUGAAUGAUAUCAUCUUUCAGCUUUGCUUCUCUCUGGGUAUUGGCUUCAUUCUGUUGGCAAGAUCUUGGCAUGCAGAGGAAAGGUUGGCUAUAGGAAGUUCCAAUAGCUGUCUUGCAAAUAUCCAUUCCAGGGAAGAGUCUCUUUCACCCUAUUUAGUUCAUAAACUCAAAUGCAAAGGUGAUAGAGUGCUCUUAUUGCCCAGCCUGGAUCACUGCUCAAACUUUGGGAUAGGGCAGCAUCACAACUGCCACACCAUCAGGACCUUCAGCUGUAGGGAUGGGGGGAGUUUCUCCAUAGGAAGGAAUGCUGAGCAUAUAAACUCAGAGGUGUACUUGAAGCUUCUCUUAAGAUUAAAAAAAAAAAAUCUUCAUAUUUAACAGUGA